AUUGAACGCUGGCGGCAGGCCUAACACAUGCAAGUCGAGCGGAUGAAGGGAGCUUGCUCCUGGAUUCAGCGGCGGACGGGUGAGUAAUGCCUAGGAAUCUGCCUGGUAGUGGGGGAUAACGUCCGGAAACGGGCGCUAAUACCGCAUACGUCCUGAGGGAGAAAGUGGGGGAUCUUCGGACCGCACGCUAUCAGAUGAGCCUAGGUCGGAUUAGCUAGUUGGUGGGGUAAAGGCCUACCAAGGCGACGAUCCGUAACUGGUCUGAGAGGAUGAUCAGUCCCACUGGAACUGAGACACGGUCCAGACUCCUACGGGAGGCAGCAGUGGGGAAUAUUGGACAAUGGGCGAAAGCCUGAUCCAGCCCUGCCGCGUGUGUGAAGAAGGUCUUCGGAUUGUAAAGCACUUUAAGUUGGGAGGAAGGGCAGUAAGUUAAUACCUUGCUGUUUUGACGUUACCAACAGAAUAAGCACCGGCUAACUUCGUG
rnacentral:rRNA from 1 species